rnacentral:tRNA from 1 species
GGCAACCAGGCCGAGUGGUUAAGGCGACAGACUCGAAUUUUCCCAUUUCGGAUUAGUUUUCGAGUGGGGAAGCGGAUAUCUGUUUCAUUCGUGAGCGCAGGUUCAAAUCCUGCAGGUGUCG